GACGAACGCUGGCGGCGUGCUUAACACAUGCAAGUCGAACGGAAAGGCCCUGCUUUUGUGGGGUGCUCGAGUGGCGAACGGGUGAGUAACACGUGAGUAACCUGCCCUUGACUUUGGGAUAACUUCAGGAAACUGGGGCUAAUACCGGAUAGGAGCUCCUGCUGCAUGGUGGGGGUUGGAAAGUUUCGGCGGUUGGGGAUGGACUCGCGGCUUAUCAGCUUGUUGGUGGGGUAGUGGCUUACCAAGGCUUUGACGGGUAGCCGGCCUGAGAGGGUGACCGGCCACAUUGAGACUGAGAUACGGCCCAGACUCCUACGUGAGGCAGCAGUGGGGAAUAUUGCACAAUGGGCGGAAGCCUGAUGCAGCAACGCCGCGUGCGGGAUGACGGCCUUCGGGUUGUAAACCGCUUUCGCCUGUGACGAAGCGUGAGUGACGGUAAUGGGUAAAGAAGCACCGGCUAACUACGUG
rnacentral:rRNA from 1 species